rnacentral:ncRNA from 12 species
GGCGCAAUGGUGGCGCAUCGGACUUUGAAUCCGAAGGUUACAGGAUCAAUUCUUGU